AUUGAACGCUGGCGGCAGGCCUAACACAUGCAAGUCGAGCGAGCGGCGGACGGGUGAGUAAUGUCUGGGAAACUGCCUGAUGGAGGGGGAUAACUACUGGAAACGGUAGCUAAUACCGCAUACCAUCAGAUGUGCCCAGGUGGGAUUAGCUAGUAGGUGGGGUAACGGCUCACCUAGGCGACGAUCCCUAGCUGGUCUGAGAGGAUGACCAGCAACACUGGGACUGAGCAACGGUCCAGACUGCUACGUGAGGAAGCAGUGGGGAAUAUUGCACAAUGGGCGCAAGCCUGAUACAGCCAUGCCGAGUGUGUGAAGAAGGCCUUCGGGUUGUAAAGCACUUUCAGCGGGGAGGCGUUACCCGCAGAAGAAGCACCGGCUAACUCCGUGCCAGCAGCCGCGGUAAUAC
rnacentral:rRNA from 1 species